rnacentral:tRNA from 1 species
CGACUUAGCUCAAUUGGCAGAGCAACUGACUUGUAAUCAGUAGGUUGUAGGUUCAACUCCUAUAGUCGGC